rnacentral:lncRNA from 1 species
CAUGGAGAUACUGAAGAAGGAGCACUGGGAGGGCAGUGGGGAGAGAGAGGUUAGGAGAGGAUUCAUUAAUUGCUGUGUGCCAGAAGACAGCAGUUGGUCCUUGUGAUACUUGUAGGGGAAAUAUUGUACCCUCAGCUCAGAUAUUUGCAGGCUUACAUGCUGGUAUCAGAGCCCCUUUCUUCACCUUUUGUUAUCCAUACUGAGUCCCAAACUCUCUGCUGAGAAAAGAAGCACUGACCUUCAUGAUUGUCUGUCAGCAGCAUCUCCUUUUCUGUAAUCAAUUUGUCAAACAGUAAGUACUGCAACUACUCAUUUCUUUG